AGUGAACGCUGGCGGUAGGCCUAACACAUGCAAGUCCAACGGCAGCACAGUAAGAGCUUGCUCUUACGGGUGGCGAGUGGCGGACGGGUGAGGAAUACAUCGGAAUCUACUUUUUCGUGGGGGAUAACGUAGGGAAACUUACGCUAAUACCGCAUACGACCUACGGGUGAAAGCAGGGGAUCUUCGGACCUUGCGCGAUUGAAUGAGCCGAUGUCGGAUUAGCUAGUUGGCGGGGUAAAGGCCCACCAAGGCGACGAUCCGUAGCUGGUCUGAGAGGAUGAUCAGCCACACUGGAACUGAGACACGGUCCAGACUCCUACGGGAGGCAGCAGUGGGGAAUAUUGGACAAUGGGCGCAAGCCUGAUCCAGCCAUACCGCGUGGGUGAAGAAGGCCUUCGGGUUGUAAAGCCCUUUUGUUGGGAAAGAAAAGCAGCAGGUUAAUACCCCGCUGUUCUGACGGUACCCAAAGAAUAAGCACCGGCUAACUUCGUGC
rnacentral:rRNA from 1 species